UACGUAUGGGGCAAGCGUUAUCCGGAUUUACUGGGUGUAAAGGGAGCGUAGGCGGCGGGGCAAGCCUGAUGUGAAAGCCCGGGGCUCAACCCCGGGACUGCAUUGGGAACUGCCCUGCUGGAGUGCCGGAGGGGCAGGCGGAAUUCCUAGUGUAGCGGUGAAAUGCGUAGAUAUUAGGAGGAACACCAGUGGCGAAGGCGGCCUGCUGGACGGUGACUGACGCUGAGGCUCGAAAGCGUGGGGAGCAAACGGG
rnacentral:rRNA from 1 species